AGUUUAGUGGGUCUAGCCUGUCACGCCGGGGGUCACGGGUUCGAGUCCCGUCCGCUGCGCCA
rnacentral:tRNA from 1 species